UAAAAACGGCCGCUACACCGAACUGCCAGUGCGACAGGGGGGCCCACCACUACCACAUCUGUCAUGGAAGACGCGCGGGUAUUAUGGCCAGCCCAGGGUAGACCCGGAACCAAACGAAACCCCUUGCAAGGGGAGUGUAGUGUGUAGUUAAACAAAUAGAAGCGAGAACGAGUGAGCACAAACAGAAAGGUGGAGCCGAGGCGAGCGGUGUCGUGGCUCGGGUCGGGUGUCGAGUUCGCUCGGGUGCUGUUAGCGUAGCGGUCCCCAGUCCUUGUCAUCGUUCCAGGCGAUCCGUUACCUGUCCGUUUACCUGCCCGGUGCUCGCGCUAUGUGCAGCAGAUCCUGCGUUGCUCGGUUGAUAGUGGUGGUGCUGGUGCUGGUGCUGCUGAUGGUGGUCACCGUUCCCCCGGUUGAGGCCGUGCGCGUCAUCUUCCGGGUGCAGGACCCGGCUGCUGGUUUCGGUGCCAGCACGGCCAACAUUCUCCGCUCGCCGAACCUGGUCGGUAGUAGCUGCGGUAUCGGCCAGGUGUCCGAUACGCGCGGUAUCUGCCGGAGUACUAUAUCCUUCUAGUUCGCAGCGAAAACGCGCACGGAUUAGCGAAUAAGCGUGUGCCGAGCGAGGUCGCGGAUAUGCUGCGCAAGCGAUUACGGGUUGCGGGUGCCCUUUACAGACACCACUGCCGAACCAAAGUGGGUAGUGAGAAUAUUCUUCCCACAAAAAAGCCGACACCAGCAUCAUCAUCAUCAUCACCACGAGUCUCAGAGCCACGAUAGAAAGCGAAGAGAAAAAAAAAAACACCCCCCAGCAAACCAGCCAGUCCUCGCCUGGAGCACACGACAGCGAUUUCGAGCGAUUUCGAGCGAUUAUCAAUAAAUAAGUUACACAACUACAUAGAUGGUAUGCACACAUAUGUGUGCAACGAGCGGCAUACAAUACCCUCGCGGGCCUGAUAGUGCAAAUGCCUGUGCCGACCACUUGAACAAACGCCCUGAUCAUGAUUUUGCGCUAAUUAUCCCUGUAACAAUAAAAUUUACAACCUAUGCUGUCACUAGUUA